rnacentral:tRNA from 1 species
GGCGGGGUAGCUCAGUUGGCAGAGCAGAGGACUCAUAAGCCUCGUGUCGGGAGUUCGAUCCUCCCCCCCGCCACCA